CUGCCUCAUCCAUUUCCCCGACUGUUUUUUCUAAACCAUUCAUCUUCUUUUCUAUAGUAAUUGUUGUUUUUUUUAAAAAAAAUGAUUAGCAAAAUGCAUCACAAAUCGUUACACCUUCCUUUGGCCACUACAAAAAUUCUUAGGGUUUUGCCUCUUCCAUAUUUUCCUUCAAUGGUGAUUCAUUUACCAUAGUUGUAUUGAUCAAGGCGUAUGUUGAUGCUUUCAAUGGAGCUCUCUGCUAUAGGAACCUUCUUGUCAAUUUAAUUCACCUAUUCUGGAACAAACUGAUGUCAAUUAGGCAUUUAUCGGGAAGAACGUAUUUUCGGAAGAGGGAACGCGUGGUGCACAUGAGUGUGCUCCUUAGAGACAAAAAUUUGCUGGCAGAACAACUUCUUGUUCCAUCCAAAGUGAGACAAACACAUUUCUAUGGCAUUGACUUUAGCUGGUAGAGCCGAACAUUCAAAGGGACUCAAGUGUUGGACCCAGAAAUUUGCCACAUUGAAUACUACAUUAUGCCCGAGUGUCAUCACAGAUGGUCGGCACCUCAAGAAAGCCAACUUCAUUACCUGCAAAUCUGCUUUGGAGCUCUUAAUUGGCGUUUGAUCAUGUUUAUUUUAUAGUAUUAAUAACACCGAUUAUUAGACACCAAAAGACUAUAGUUGUUAUAUUCAACUUUUACUUUUUUGGUAAUGUUGUUGACGCUUUGAAAUAAUAGAGUACUUGUUCUAUUUCUUUAUUGAGAAUUGAAUGAAAUACAUUGUUUUAUUUUACAA